rnacentral:rRNA from 1 species
GGGGGAUAUUGCACAAUGGAGGAAACUCUGAUGCAGCAACGCCGCGUGAGGGAAGAAGGUCUUCGGAUUGUAAACCUUUGUCCUUGGUGACGAAACAAAUGACGGUAGCCAAGGAGGAAGCUCCGGCUAACUACGUGCCAGCAGCCGCGGUAAUACGUAGGGAGCAAGCGUUGUCCGGAUUUACUGGGUGUAAAGGGUGCGUAGGCGGCUCUGCAAGUCAGGCGUGAAAUAUUUGGGCUUAACCCAUAGACUGCGUUUGAAACUGUGGGGCUUGAGUGAAGUAGAGGUAGGCGGAAUUCCCGGUGUAGCGGUGAAAUGCGUAGAGAUCGGGAGGAACACCAGUGGCGAAGGCGGCUUACUGGGCUUUAACUGACGCUGAGGCACGAAAGCAUGGGUAGCAAAC